rnacentral:rRNA from 1 species
UACGUAGGGGGCAAGCGUUGUCCGGAUUUAUUGGGCGUAAAGAGCGUGUAGGCGGUUUUACAGGUCCGUUGUGAAAACUCGAGGCUCAACCUCGAGACGCCGAUGGAAACCAUCUGACUAGAGUCCGGAAGAGGAGAGUGGAAUUCCUGGUGUAGCGGUGAAAUGCGCAGAUAUCGGGAAGAACACCCGUGGCGAAGGCGGCACUCUGGGACGGUACUGACGCUGAGACGCGAAAGCGUGGGGAGCGAACAGG